CUGUCACAGGAACAACAGCAGCGAAUCCUGUGGUUGAAACCACAGCACUUCCCUCACAGCGGGGCGGCGGGGGCGGGGGAUCAUUGUGGGCUUGGAGCGUUGUUAGGUUUGAGCCUACCCAGAUUAUUUUAUUCAUGAUGAAAUAUAAGGCGGAGAAUCGCUGUGUGAGAGGACAGAAGCUGAUCCGCCCCUGCCCCUCCCUGCCAGCCUGUGCUACCCGCUUUGGCUGGAAGGAUCAAAAGGAGGUUAUACCAAAGUGGUUCUGAGCCAGUGAAAAACAAAUUCAAGCUGCUAACAACAUAAUGAAGAUGAUGGGCUUCGUUGGGAAGAAAAUCAUGUUUGAUUUACUGCCGGAGCUGUCGUGACUACCAUUUCUGAGCACCUGCUGUCACCAAGGAUAGCACUAGAGUAUCUUCUUUUUACCAUUGUCAAAGAACUUGCUACACUUUCCAUACACCUGGCAUCGCUGCAUGAGGCCAUCCUUGACCAGUAUGUGGAGCUGACAAGUUCCAGACUUUUUCCUGCUGAAGAAGAGGCUGAGCAUGAGCAGAGACCAAAAAAACGGUGGCCAACAGUGACAGCACAGAAAAGGCCAGCGCUGCUCAACCCCGGGCUCCCCCUUCUGUUUCUUCUCCUGUCAACUUGGAAGACCCACCCCACCCACUCCUCAUAUAAUUGAUAGGGCACUGUCAGGCAGGUGGUGUAAGUGGUUUAUUUUAGAGAAGGUUAUUACUGGCCACAAAACUUCAAGUCAGCUAUUUUCAAGGACCCUUAGGAAGGAAGUGCCUGUUUAGGGUGUCCACCCUCGAAAGCCCAGGACAGAGGUCUUACUGUACUUCUGCACCCAACCACAUUUAAUCCAUUCAUAAGGCUCCUUUGUGAGAUGCCACAUCAGAGUAAACCAAUGUUGGAUAUUGCAAACAGCUUUGAAGAAUGUCUUUCCCUUAGAACUGCACAGUUCUGAGAGCAGAAUGGUGUCCCCACACAUUGUUAUGACUUGACAUCUCCAGUGUGAAAAGUUUCCAUCAAGCUAUGAUAAGAAAAGGCUGGGCUUUUUACUCUCGUGGAAACCACAGCAGAAGAAAGCCAUUAUGCUACCUCUUCACUUAGCCUCUUCCUGUAAAUACAAGUGCAUUAGAGAGAAACAGGUCCAAGUUUGGGGAAGUGAGUUGGUAACUCUUAAAAAUCAGGCAGUGAAAAACUGAAAGUUCAGUUUUACAAUGAGUGGUAAUGUGGACAACAGAAAGGGAACAUAUGUCUCACAGAGAGGAAGAUACUCUGUGACCCAGUGGUGAAUUUUAGAUUUUGAAUUUUUGGGAAUGAAAACAAAGAUUUAACUUUAAGAACUGACAUGCCAACUGUUUUGCUUUUUGUUUUGUAAUUAGGACACUGAGGAAAAAAAGACUAUCAUUUUAAACUUCAUCAUCAUCUUAUAACACAAAGGACAGUAUGACAUUAAAAAAUAAGGCAUAAUCUCACAAAGAACAUUUUUUUGGUAGUGGUGUUGGAGAUCAAACUUAGGGCUUCAUACAUGAUAGACAUAUGCUCUAAAACCAGGCUACAUCUCUUCAUAAGAAUCUUUUUUUUUCUUUUGUACUAGGGAUUGAAUCCAGGGCCUUCACACUUAGCUAUAUCCCCAACCCCUCUUUGUUUUGGUACCUGGAAUCGAACUCGGGACCUUGCGCUUUUAAGGUAGGCGCCGGAACCACUGAGCUAAAUCCCCACCCUUCUCUAACCCUUUUAAUUUUGAAAUAGAGCCUUGCUAAGUUGUCCAGUCUGGGCUUGAACUUGGCAGUCCUUCUGCCUCAGCCUCCUGGAGUGCUGGGAUUACAGGUGUGGGCUCCCAAGGCCUGCCCAAGUAUCAUUUGCUAUAUGUGGGAAAAUUCUCUUGAUGUAAAAGGUCGGUAUUUCUGAUUUUUUUUUUCUAUUGCACAACAGAUCUGCAAGCAUGUCUUUCCUAGUGCCAGUACACCUGGUGUUAGCACGUGGAGGAUGAAGUCAGAUGAGCUGGGUGACGUCCAUGCCUUGUCGGUGGCUGGCUGUGUGGCGUUGGGUCAGUCAUUUGCCCAAGUUUGUGCAUGUAUGCAAUGUGGAUGGGAGUGACACCUACCCACUAUAAGGCUGGCAGGUUGGUGGCUUACUAUGACAGGAGCGUGCAGCACUUGGCAGCUUUUGUCAUCAGACCUCUGACACAGCCAUCUUAGCCACCAAGAAGAUAGAAGACAGAGUUAAAGCAGAAGUGUUCACCUGGCUGACUUAAGAGGAACACAGUUGUGUUAGUUACUUUUCUCUUGUACCUGAGACAAAAUACCCAACACCCAAAGUUAAAGGGGGAAAGGUUUAUUUGGCUUACAGUUCGUAAAGGUUUCAGUCCAUAAUCAGCUGGCUCCAAGCCAGGGUGGCAGAGGAGAAACAGUUCAUAGCAGCAUAAGACAGCUAAAGCAACAAGAGACCCUAACAGCAUCUUUCUGCCCCUUUUAUCCCAUCCAGACUACCGGGAUUAGGGCGGUGCCAAACCAGUCUCUCACUUACAGUGGUUUAGUAAUCACAUGCCCUUAAUCCCAGCAUCACACAUUCCAGAUUCAGCCACUUCUGAAAAAGAAAGUCCCCCCUCAUCUGCAUGAGGCUUUGGGGGGACUUCUAAACACAAGCCACAACAACAGUUUUUUAUCAUUUACAUUUAUAAGCAAAUCAUUUGGGAAUAAAGAAUGUAAAUUUAGAAGAAGAGAAAGAAUGUCUCAUGAAAGUAUAGGUGGCUGCAUGGAAGAUGAGUUCUGAGACUUGCAUUGUCACCUGCAAGCAGAGGGACAGAGGGGGAAGGGACACAAUCUGGACUCCAAGAGCUGCUUUGUAGUUAGCUGGGGACAGGAUGGAGCUCCCUGGAUCCUUAGGUGCAGUAAUGGUUUUCCUACCAUGCAUCAUCUUUCCCUUAUGGUCAUUUAUUAAAUUCUGGUUAAUGACUCCUCUUUCCCACUACUUCUAUCUAGAAACUCAUGUUCCCUCAGCCACCAUCCUUUUCACCUGAUAAACUCUGUUCAUCCUUCAAGGUGUCUUCUUUAUAAAAAAUUUCUUUUUGGGAGAUUUAGCUCAGUGG
ensembl:lncRNA